GACGAACGCUGGCGGCGUGCUUAACACAUGCAAGUCGAACGGAAAGGCCCUGCUUUUGUGGUGUGCUCGAGUGGCGAACGCGUGAGUAACACGUGAGUAACCUGCCCUUGACUUUGGUAUAACUUCAGGAAACUGGGGCUAAUACCGGAUCGGAGCUCCUGCUGCAUGGUGGGGGUUGGAAAUUUUCGGCGGUUGGGGAUGGACUCGCGGCUUAUCAGCUUGUUGGUGGGGGAGUGGCUUACCAAGGCUUUGACGGGUAGCCGGCAUGAGAGGGUGACCGGCCACCUUGGGACUGAGAGACGGCGCAGACUCCUACGGGAGGCAGCGGUGGGGAAUAUUGCACAAUGGGAGGAAGCCUGAUGCAGAAACGCCGGGUGCGGGAUGACGGCCUUCGGGUUGUAAACCGCUUUCGCCUGUGACGAAGCGUGAGUGACGGUAAUGGGUAAAGAAGCACCGGCUAACUACGUG
rnacentral:rRNA from 1 species